AGUGAACGCUGGCGGUAGGCCUAACACAUGCAAGUCGAACGGCAGCACAGUAAGAGCUUGCCAUUACGGGUGGCGAGUGGCGGACGGGUGAGGAAUACAUCGGAAUCUACUUUUUCGUGGGGGAUAACGUAGGGAAACUUACGCUAAUACCGCAUACGACCUACGGGUGAAAGCAGGGGAUCUUCGGACCUUGCGCGAUUGAAUGAGCCGAUGUCGGAUUAGCUAGUUGGCGGGGUAAAGGCCCACCAAGGCGACGCUCCGCAGCUGGUCUGAGAGGAUGAUCAGCCACACUGGAACUGAGACACGGUCCAGACUCCUACGGGAGGCCGCAGUGGGGAAUAUUGGACAAGGGGCGCAAGCCUGAUCCAGCCAUACCGCGUGGGUGAAGAAGGCCUUCUGGUUGUAAAGCCCUUUUGUUGGGAAAGAAAAGCAGCAGGUUAAUACCCCGCUGUUCUGACGGUACCCAAAGAAUAAGCACCGGCUAACUUCGUG
rnacentral:rRNA from 1 species